CAGAUUAGAGCUCUGCUUAGAGAGUACCUCAUUUACGCUGGGGCGGUAUACUGUGCAAUUCAGUUUAAUCUGA
rnacentral:tRNA from 1 species